rnacentral:rRNA from 1 species
UACGAAGGGGGCUAGCGUUGCUCGGAAUUACUGGGCGUAAAGCGCACGUAGGCGGUCUUUUAAGUCGGGGGUGAAAUCCUGGAGCUCAACUCCAGAACUGCCUUCGAUACUGGAAGACUCGAGUCCGGGAGAGGUGAGUGGAAUUCCCAGUGUAGCGGUGAAAUGCGUAGAUAUUGGGAGGAACACCAGUGGCGAAGGCGGCUCACUGGACCGGUACUGACGCUGAUGCGCGAAAGCGUGGGGAGCAAACGGG